rnacentral:rRNA from 1 species
CGCGUAGGCGGCCUUCUAAGUCGUGCGUGAAAUCCCCCGGCUCAACCGGGGAACUGCGUUCGAUACUGGAAGGCUUGAAUCCGGGAGAGGGAUGUGGAAUUCCAGGUGUAGCGGUGAAAUGCGUAGAUAUCUGGAGGAACACCGGUGGCGAAGGCGGCAUCCUGGACCGGCAUUGACGCUGAGGCGCGAAAGCUAGGGGAGCAAACG